rnacentral:rRNA from 1 species
UGUAAUUUAAAGAAGCGUUUUCGGUGGCAGCCUGGGUAUAAAUCCUUUGGAAUAGGGUAUCAUAGAGGGUGAGAAUCCCGUCUUUGACCUAGUGCAUGCUACUAUGUGAUACGUUUUCAAAGAGUCGAGUUGUUUGGGAAUGCAGCUCAAAAUGGGUGGGAAAUUUCAUCUAAAGCUAAAUAUUGGCGAGAGACCGAUAGCGAACAAGUACCGUGAGGGAAAGAUGAAAAGAACUUUGAAAAGAGAGUUAAACAGUGCGUGAAAUUGUUGAAAGGGAAACGUUUGACACCAGUCAUGUGGGUGGAAAAUCANUCUUUUGCAUUGGGGAGUUGUAAAGGUUCGGACCGCAAGGCCGGNUUUUGCUUCAUCUUUGGUGUAAGGGAUGCACUUUUUCAUCUACAGGUCAACAUCAGUUUCUUUUGCUGGACAAAACUCCNAGAGAAGGUAGCAGCUUAGGCUGUGUUAUAGCUCUGGAGCGAUACAGUGAAGGNGACUGAGGNUUUCGCAGCGUGUGCUCUCGGGCAAGGCUGGGUGGGUGCUANGGGAUCGUUCGGGGUACAAUGCCUGGCAUUUUGCUUCGUGUCUUUUCUAUACUCGCUC